rnacentral:rRNA from 1 species
UACGAAGGGGGCUAGCGUUGUUCGGAUUUACUGGGCGUAAAGGGCGCGUAGGCGGUCAGCACAAGUCAGUUGUGAAAUCUCCGGGCUUAACUCGGAAAGGUCAACUGAUACUGUGCGACUAGAGUGCAGAAGGGGCAACUGGAAUUCUCGGUGUAGCGGUGAAAUGCGUAGAUAUCGAGAGGAACACCUGCGGCGAAGGCGGGUUGCUGGGCUGACACUGACGCUGAGGCGCGAAAGCCAGGGGAGCGAACGGG